GUUUGAGCGGGAAAAAGAAGGGAAACAGGAAACCCUAGGUAGGGAGCUGCUGUCCCAAGCCAGGUGGAAGCAAGGUUCAAUUGCCUGAAGACAGAAGGAUUAGAAGUUGAGGAAAGCUGUUGAAUCUCUCACGGGAAAAAAUUGGAAGCGAAUAGGUUGGUCCUUGUUACACCUAAAUCUUGUGAGUGCAGCUGCGCAGCUGUGCCCAUCGACGGAACACGUUAUUCAUGGUGGUUUGAAAAAUAAGAAUAGUGUGCAGUAAAGUCUGAAAGACAACUGAGUAAAUCGGUCCCCCGAGAACGCAAAGCUGUUUUCAGCAACGGGAGGGACCUUCUUUUUCUUCUUACUGCUUUCACCCCGAACUGGAUUAAAGGAUCUGACAGGCCUUUUUCUCUCUUUCUUCUGAAACAAAAUUACGUAGAG